rnacentral:lncRNA from 1 species
UUAGAGCUAGUGUUAAAAUCAAUAAUAUCGGACGAAGAUUUUUAAGUUUAAACGUUUCAACAUUUAGUGAAAUAUCAUAAACCUAAUGAGUGAAUUAAAGACUUGUUUCCCUUUGAAACCAACACGCCAUUAUCGGUGAAUACAUGUCUGAAACUGGGUCAGCGAAUACAUGCAGUUAUUGCUCUGAAUAUACGCGGAUAUUUAAAGUGCAUGGUGGAUUUAAUAAUAGUUAUGGAUAACCUCCAGCAGUAAGAAAUAUAAAGGCUCACUGCAGUUAAAGUGCUUAACAAGUAUUGACCCCAUACUAUGCUCAACAAGUAGGGCCCUUGUAUUUCUGUGAAUCCUCAUGCAGUACUGCUGUUGGAAGAGGAGCAAACAGUGUGGUAUCUAUGGUCCAUCAUCAUUUCAAGCAUCAUGGCUAUUGAGAAAAGAAUGUUUCAUUAGAUAUGGACAAUUAAAGUGGACAAAAUAAGAAAAGUGUUGUAAUAAGCUCUGGAAUGUGGAUUGUUAUGAUAGGUCUACAUGAUGACUUGGAGUACAACCUGAUUGAGUCCCGGCAUACAGAAUUCAGUCCUGAACAUGUUUAGAAUGAGAAUGUCUUCUGCAUGACGUGGUAUAGAUAGUAUUCUUGAAGGAUUAUAACUUCAACACAGAGACGGAGAUUUUUAGGCUGGGGGUUGGCAUGACAGGCAAAUUCACCAACCGUAUUACCAUUCCUGAGCUGGAUGCCAGUCGACAGUGGUACCUGUAUAAUGAAAUAGCGCCCCUUUGCAGCAACAGCAAUGUAUGCUCAAAACUAGCAGUG